rnacentral:rRNA from 1 species
GAUGAACGCUGGCGGCGUGCCUAAUACAUGCAAGUCGAGCGAACAGAUGAGGAUCUUGCUCCUCUGACGUUAGCGGCGGACGGGUGAGUAACACGUGUAUAACCUACCUAUAAGACUGGGAUAACUUCGGGAAACCGGAGCUAAUACCGGAUAAUAUAUUGAACCGCAUUGUUCAAUGGUGAAAGACGGUGUUGCUGUCACUUAUAGAUGGAUCCGCGCCUCAUUAGCUAGUUGGUAAGGUAACGGCUUACCAAGGCAACGAUGCGUAGCCGACCUGAGAGGGUGAUCGGCCACACUGGAGCUGAGACACGGUCCAGACUCCUACGGGAGGCAGCAGUCGGGAAUCUUCCGCAAUGGGCGAAAGUCUGACGGAGCAACGCCGCGUGAGUGAUGAAGGUCUUCGGAUCGUAAAACUCUGUUAUUAGGGAAGAACAAAUGUGUAAGUAAAUAUGCACGUCUUGACGGUACCUAAUAAGAAAGCAACGGCUAACUACGUG